rnacentral:lncRNA from 1 species
CUGGCCUGGCCUGAGUCACAUGCCAAGCUUGGAGGUACUGACAGUGUCAACAGAGUGUGUUAACAGAAAGAAGCCGGGAGGGGAGGGACGGGCGAGCCAAGGCAAACCCUCUCCCAUGACCGCCACUUGCCUCUCGAGAAAAUAUGUAUCUGCAGAGCUCACAGAAACUUCCCACAGCAGUCGUUCAAGGAGUUGCUGUUGUCAGCCUUCUCGUCAGCUCAGGCCUUCGUUCUCCCUCAUCAGACGCACCCAAAAUUCAGAUCUCAUUUUCUCUCAGGUCUGAGGCAGCUCUUGGGAAACCUGGCAAAGCUGCUGUCCUGGUCUCCCUCUCCUCUCCCACCGAAGCACCUGCAACGGACCCAGACUACUGUCCUGGGAAUCUAUUUUUUGGUCCAAAGAGAUGAUGUUAAAAAUAUGAAAGAAGCCCAUUUUGUUGUUGAUGGAGACGUUUCCCAGAAAUCUGCCUUGGGUGGUCUUAUAUCAGACAGCAGAGACCCACCUGGCCUGGGUGGCAGCGCAGGAAGAGGCGGUGAGUCCUGGCUGAGGGGCCUCUGGGGUUGGCAGAGCGCCGGGACUCCUGGGAAAAUGAAGCUGACCUUCCAUCAAACCCUAAAGGCGCUGGCGCUAUCUUGUUCUAAGCGGGUGAGUGCAAGAGAAGCUUUGGAAAUGAGAAGCCGGUCCUUCCCUCUGA